UACGUAGGUGGCAAGCGUUGUCCGGAAUUAUUGGGCGUAAAGCGCGCGCAGGCGGCCUCUUAAGUCUGAUGUGAAAGCCCCCCGGCUCAACCGGGGAGGGCCAUUGGAAACUGGGAGGCUUGAGUAUAGGAGAGAAGAGUGGAAUUCCACGUGUCGCGGUGAAAUGCGUAGAGAUGUGGAGGAACACCAGUGGCGAAGGCGACUCUUUGGCCUAUAACUGACGCUGAGGCGCGAAAGCGUGGGGAGCAAACAGG
rnacentral:rRNA from 1 species